rnacentral:rRNA from 1 species
UAGUGAGUUUGAUCCUGGCUCAGGACGAACGCUGGCGGCGUGCCUAAUACAUGCAAGUCGAACGGCAGUCUUCGGACUGUAGUGGCGCACGGGUGAGUAACGCGUAACUGACCUACCCCAAAGUCGCGGAUAACGGUUCGAAAGAAUCGCUAAUACGUGAUGUGCUGCUCCCUCCUGUGGGAUCAGUAAAGAUUUAUUGCUUUGGGAUGGGGUUGCGUUCCAUCAGCUAGUUGGUAGGGUAAAGGCCUACCAAGGCGACGACGGAUAGCCGGCCUGAGAGGGUGGCCGGCCACAGGGGCACUGAGACCA